AACGAACGCUGGCGGCAUGCCUAACACAUGCAAGUCGAACGAGACCUUCGGGCCUAGUGGCGCACGGGGGCGUAACGCGGGGGAACCUGCCCUUAGGUUCGGAAUAACUCCCCGAAAGGGGUGCUAAUACCGGAUAAGGUCUUCGGACCAAAGAUUUUUGGCCUUUGGGUGGGCCCGGGUUGGAUUAGCUAGUUGGUAGGGUAAAAGCCUACCAAGGAGAGGAUCCAUAGCUGGUCGGAGAGGAUGAUUCCCUACACUAGGACUGAGACACGGACCAGAAGCCUACGGGAGGCAGGAGUGGGGAAUAUUGGACGAUGGGCGAAAGCCUGACACCGCCAUGCGGCGUGAGUGAUGAAGGCCUUAGGGUUGUAAAGCUGUUUUACCCGGGAUGAUAAUGACAGUACCGGGAGAAUAAGCUCCGGCUAACUACGUG
rnacentral:rRNA from 1 species